GAUGAACGCUAGCUACAGGCUUAACACAUGCAAGUCGAGGGGAAACGACAUCGAAAGCUUGCUUUUGAUGGGCGUCGACCGGCGCACGGGUGAGUAACGCGUAUCCAACCUGCCCACCACUUGGGGAUAACCUUGCGAAAGUAAGACUAAUACCCGAUGAUAUCUCUAGAAGACAUCUGAAAGGGAUUAAAGAUUUAUCGGUGAUGGAUGGGGAUGCGUCUGAUUAGCUUGUUGGCGGGGGUAACGGCCCACCAAGGCAACGAUCAGUAGGGGUUCUGAGAGGAAGGUCCCCCCACAUUGGAACUGAGACACGGUCCAAACUCCUACGGGAGGCAGCAGUGAGGAAUAUUGGUCAAUGGGCGAGAGCCUGAACCAGCCAAGUAGCGUGCAGGAAGACGGCCCUAUGGGUUGUAAACUGCUUUUAUACGGGGAUAAAGUGGGCCACGUGUGGCUUAUUGCAGGUACCGUAUGAAUAAGGACCGCUAAUUCCGUG
rnacentral:rRNA from 1 species